rnacentral:lncRNA from 1 species
UUCGCCAUUGUCCGCAGAGGGAUACCCUAUUGCAACUGAGAAGCCCUGCAGGAGGAAUCUGAGUUACGUGGAUUUUGUUCUUCACAGGCAGUUGAACCCAGUGUGCAGUUUUCCAGCCUCAUACAACCGGCUCUCAGAGACCCCUGCACCAGCAAGAAGCACCCUCUUCUCAGGGGCUUAAGUCUCAGAGCCCCUCCUCCAACCUUCUGACAAUUCCAGCCUCUCUAUCCUUAGCCCUGGGGGUAACUGCUGCUUCCUGAAAUUGCUGUUCUGGUAUAUCUAGUGUUCUCUUUACCCUUUCCGUGACCUAGUUAACAGAGGCUCUCUGCUAAAUUCUUUCUGUUAAAAUAACUGGUGUGUUUUUGUCUCCUACCUGAUACAUAGGAGAGAAUGACUUUUAUUCUUCACGUUGAUGAAACAAGUGUAUUUAUAGGCUGUGAUCAUGGAACCCCUAGAGCUAGGGGUCAAAGAAACAGAAGAAAGGGAAAACUGUGGCCAAAGUCAGAGAGUGUACAAAAGAGGAGGCUCACGGAUAGCAGGGGUGCUGGCCCAGAAGAGAAGCGGGGAAAGAGGUAAGGGUGCCUGUGGAGGAAGGCAUGUUUGUGGGUGGCAGAAGUUGAGAAAAACUGUGCAUAAGGGUCUGGCGUGUAUCCAGGAAUUAGGAAGAAAGCCCCUCUGCAGAGGUGGGAGGAUGAGAAAUGAGAAGCAGCAUCAUUAAGUGUGGAGUGGUCCCUGAGGGGAAUGAAAGAAUUUACUCAUCAAAGACAAGGGACAGAUGAGGACACAGGCUGAGGUGGAAAGAACAAAAUCUAUGACUCCUUGAUCUUCCCCACUGGGCCCGGCCACAACUGAGGGGUGCAGCAAGGAUACAAGGUGCGUCUUGAGGGUCCUGUUGGACAAACAACCACUUCAAGACACACUGAAGGGAAACGAGACUGUCACUGACUGAAUGGCUAGAGUGGUCCAUGGACUCCAGCCUGGGAGUUCAGGAAAACAUUGUUUUUUGUUGUAAGCUUUAAAGAAACACAUUUUACAUUCUGAAUCCCUUUUUCAGCAGUUCCAUCUAUUUGCAAAGAUUUACAUUUCAUAACUCAUUCUUUCUUAGGGUUCUUCUAAAGAACAAAGGGAAGACUGACUUAUUUUCUUUUAAGUAGAAUAAAACUCACUCUGUCUUAUACUUACCAUAUGAUGUAAGAUGGUGGCUGAGUGGGUUAAAGACCUUGCAUUGCCACUGCUGUGAUGCUGCUUACUGCUGUGGCACAGGUUCAGUCCCUGGCCUGGG